rnacentral:rRNA from 1 species
GAUGAACGCUGGCGGCGUGCCUAAUACAUGCAAGUAGAACGCUGAAGCUUGGUGCUUGCACCGAGCGGAUGAGUUGCGAACGGGUGAGUAACGCGUAGGUAGCCUGCCUCUUAGCGGGGGAUAACUAUUGGAAACGAUAGCUAAUACCGCAUAAAAGUCGAUAUCGCAUGAUAUUGAUUUGAAAGGUGCAAAUGCAUCACUAAGAGAUGGACCUGCGUUGUAUUAGCUAGUUGGUGAGGUAACGGCUCACCAAGGCGACGAUACAUAGCCGACCUGAGAGGGUGAUCGGCCACACUGGGACUGAGACACGGCCCAGACUCCUACGGGAGGCAGCAGUAGGGAAUCUUCGGCAAUGGGGGCAACCCUGACCGAGCAACGCCGCGUGAGUGAAGAAGGGUUUCGGAUCGUAAAGCUCUGUUGUAAGAGAAGAACGAGUGUGAGAGUGGAAAGUUCACACUGUGACGGUAACUUACCAGAAAGGGACGGCUAACUACGUG